GACGAACGCUGGCGGCGUGCUUAACACAUGCAAGUCGAACGGAAAGGCCCUGCUUGCAGGGUACUCGAGUGGCGAACGGGUGGGUAACACGUGGGUGAUCUGCCCUGCACUUCGGGAUAAGCCUGGGAAACUGGGUCUAAUACCGGAUAGGAGCCAUUUUUAGUGUGAUGGUUGGAAAGUUUUUUCGGUGUAGGAUGAGCUCGCGGCCUAUCAGCUUGUUGGUGGGGUAAUGGCCUACCAAGGCGGCGAGUGGUAGCCGGCCUGAGAGGGUGGACGGCCACAUUGGGCCUGAGAUACGGCCCAGACUCCUACGGGAGGCAGCAGUGGGGAAUAUUGCACAAUGGGCGCAAGCCUGAUGCAGCGACGCCGCGUGGGGGAUGACGGCCUUCGGGUUGUAAACUCCUUUCGCUAGGGACGAAGCUUUUGUGACGGUACCUAGAUAAGAAGCACCGGCUAACUACGUG
rnacentral:rRNA from 1 species